rnacentral:lncRNA from 1 species
UAGAAAACAUCAAGAUUUUUCUUCUUUCAACUGAUCCCUGGUUACUAAUUGGUCAUCUGUGGAACUGGAAACCUGAAGAAAUGUAAGAGAUUGUGUAAGAAGAAAACAGAAGAAAGCCUAGGAGAGAAUCCUGAGGAAAACCAAAGAUUUAAGGGAUGAGCAAAAGAGAAAUCUGCACAGUAACUCAUAAAGAGUGGUCGAAGAGGUAAAGAGAAAACAAGAGCAUAUGGUGUCAUACAAGCCUGAAGGGGAUUUUUCAAAGAUGCUGUCCCUCCCAAGGAAAUGCACAUGUGUUGAGGAUAGUUAGGAGGUAGGUGAGAAGUUUGCCUAUAAUGAAUUGACUCUAACCUUUUCUGUCUAAAACUUUGGGUUGCUUUUUCUACAUCACUUUGAGAAAUUUUUGGUAUUUAAGCUUCAUGCAAUGUAGGUCAGCUUUGAAUGUAUAUUUUAUUCAACCUUCGGAGCAGACAAUGAAAACUAUACUCAGAGGUUUCAGCAGCACUUUGAAUCCAGAAUUAAUAACAAUUACAACAGUAUUCAGAAAUUCAGCCUGAUCUAAAGUAAUAUUCUAUCCCCCCAGGCUAGCAUCUGCAAAAUCUAUACCCGCACAUUUGCCCCCACAUUGAGCACGAUAAAAAUGAACAAAAUCUUGCAAUUACUUAGUAGCCUUCUUCUAGGUACAAAAUUGUUCUUGUCCUACCUGAGCCCUAUUAGUCACAGGUUGGAAGCAAUAGUAAGGGGAAGGAAUGGGUUAUAAAGAGGAUUUACAUCCUCUUGCAAGUUGAGUAUGUCAGAGGAACCUUCAAGCAAACCAAGAUCAGCCUCAUUUGAUAUGGCAGGAGGGAGUGCUUAUGUUGUAAAAGAAGGCUUUCAGUGGAACUUGAGUAUUCAGAGUAGCUGGAGCUAUUUAAAUCUUCCCAAAUGUUGUCAUUAUAAUUCUCAGUUUUUGCUCCUUGAUGUAAGAGAUCAGAAGAUAGGUGUGGUGUGUUAUUGAGAACCAUUAGGGGUUUUCAAACUUUAGUGUCCCUCAUCACCUGGAGAGCUUUACAAGAAAUGUGUUAGGAGGCUUGAAGAAACAGACUCUAGCCUGAGAUUCCAGGAAGAGUAUCAAAAACCAUACCACAAAACUAGGCUAAGAAAGCUUCCACCUUUGCUUGAGUCCUGAUCAGAAAGCUGUCACCACACUUGCUGGCUUUACUUGCACUAGAAUUUGUGCCAGACAAAUAAAUCUUCUGUCUCCUGGCUCUCUCAAGUAACUGGUUCUGAAUAAAAGUCUAAUGCAUCUGAUUAGCAGAAUGUAUACCACAACUAGGACACAUAGGAAACUUUUAAUUAAUUUAUUUGUUUUAAUUUUCCAGACUGUUUACUCUAGAAAGGCACACAAGAAGGAAGUGAGAUUGGGUAUUGAGUACUCCUGCACUUGUUUCAAGUUGGGUAGGUACAUACUCACUUGUGAGUAAACCUCGUUAAAGUCCAUCUCUCCCACUAGAAAGAAAGCGUCAAGAAAGCUGAAUCUAAUGUCUAUUUACUCCUGUGCCCCUAGCACCUAGCAGCACAGUGCCUGGCACAUAAUGGCAUUCAAUAUAGAUUUGCUAAUACGCUUAUUGCCCAGUGAAUCAGCAGUUUCUGAAAGGAGGGGAAGGAGGAGACAAGCUCUCUGAAGAAAACCUGAAUCAGUUUUAUAGCCUUUGCUUAUGCUCAGCCCUGGUGCUCUCCAUAUUGUCUACCACACUAGCAUUGUGGACAAACAUAAAAAUUUAGGACUGUUAUUUUUGUUUUGUUUUUU